AAACCGUUCAGGGGUAAACCUGAGGAACCCGAAAGAUCGAAUGGGGAGAUUCAGCGUACAGCGGCGCUGGCUCGGGCGGAACUGGCGAUGUCACGGACCACGGUAUCGUGACACGUUACGGCCAUCGCGCGUCUGGCGUCGUCGUCGUGCACUUCUCCCCUAGUAGAACGUCGCGACCCGUUGGGUGCCGGUCUACGGUCCGAGUGGUAGACUGUCGCGUCGCUUUGGCGCACGCGACAGACCCUCGAUCGCCCGGCCGGCCGCCCGGCGGUAGAGUUAUAGGUAUCUGGCCGCAAAUUCGAACUGCGUCGGGACCGCCGCAAGCGCGGCCAGUGACCCGGAGGCACGGACCUGGUGCCGUCCCCGGGCCUGGCCAGCUGUUGGCAGGCGGAGUCCUUAGACGGGCCGUAUUCGAAAGGGAUACCGGUCGGCGACGCUACUGCUUUGGGUACUCUCAGGACCCGUCUUGAAACACGGACCAAGGAGUCUAACAUGUGCGCGAGUCAUUGGGACUGCAAAGCCUAAAGGCGCAAUGAAAGUGAAGGUCGACCUCGCGUCGACCGAGGGAGGAUGGGCCGCGUUACGACGCGGCUCCGCACUCCCGGGGCGUCUCGUUCUCAUUGCGAGAAGAGGCGCACCCAGAGCGUACACGUUGGGACCCGAAAGAUGGUGAACUAUGCCUGGUCAGGACGAAGUCAGGGGAAACCCUGAUGGAGGUCCGUAGCGAUUCUGACGUGCAAAUCGAUCGUCGGAACUGGGUAUAGGGGCGAAAGACUAAUCGA
rnacentral:rRNA from 1 species